rnacentral:lncRNA from 1 species
GGUGUUGAAUAGGGCUGCAGAAAUCUGGAGGCUUGACAGCGUCAGGAGGUCUAAGAUGUCUCUUUCAUAUGGCUUGCAGUUGGUGAUGGCAGUCGCCUGAAAGGUCAACUGGGUCUGUCAACUGGAGUGCCUCAGUUCACCUCUAUGGGCUUCUCCAUGGGGCUGGAAGGAAAGCAUCACUACCUGGGAAUUUAUGGAAUGCCUAUAGACAUAGAAUUCCACACAACAUCCAACCAGAGAACCCACUUUAACUGUAAUACAAGAGCAAGGUGGGCCCAUGAUUAUGCAAUUUAUUAGUCAUAUUACACACUGCUUCUCCCACACUGCCCAGAAGCUGCUGGGGUUUUAAAGUGUUGAGCAACUUGCUGAAGGGGCAACUGAUGCACUAGCUCACAAGAGGUGCCCUAUGAGAUGCAGCACCAUCCUCCAGGAAGCAGAACAAUCAUUGAAUCAGACCUCACUGUGGCACCGCAUUUUCAUCAGGAAUCAUCAGGUUCCCAUGGGUCUGGGACCAAGGGAUAGCAGUAGAAUCGGCCCCACUUACUAUCAUUCCCAAAGAUCUACUGGGGUACUCUGCAGAUUCCUGCCUGGGCUCUCUGAAGGAUGAGAAGCCCUCAUUUCUAAAGGGGGCAUGCACUCACCCAGGGAAAUAGCAAGAGAUUCCCUGAAAUACAGGAUACAGCUGCCCCUUGAACACUUUGGGAUAUUUAUGUCCAGGGAUCACCAAACAAGAAAAGAAGUCAUCAGCUUGUCAUAAUUGACCCUAAAAUGCAUGAGAAAGAAGAUUUCCUGGUAUAAGAGACAAGCAGGAAUAUACGUAGCACUCAAGUGAUCCAAUUUGAGCAUCUCUUGCCACUCUUUGCCCAUAUAAAUGGAAACAUGCAGCAGGCCUAGCCAGAGAAGUUUAUGUUUAAUGGGGAAUUCUACUCCAGAAAAACUGCCAAGGCCAACAUAGAGUGAAAAGAAUUUAGAAUGGAUAGUGGAGGAGAAAAAUGAUGAGUUCCAGCUGUAGCAUAGAGACCAACUGCAGAGACAGGGGCUCCAUUUUGUCUCUGAACUAUCCCUCAGGAAAUUAGGCCCACCAGAGCCCUUGAGGAGCUAGCUAUUUCCAAAUAUCUUGGAGAAAAGACUCGCUGACCAGAAGAAAGAAGGUGACUACCCGGCAGCCUCCAGUUGUCUACUUCUUCAGGAUUCACCUCAGUGUUCAAGCCACGUUCAAAUUCUUCUUGGAAAGACCCUGGUUCAUGACUGAGCAAGGCAGUGGUAGCAGAGGUUAGACCCUUCUUUGGGUGGUGCCCAGCCAACAACGAGCGUGGCAGUGGCGUAAGGGCCUAGUCCUUUGUUUACCAUGCAGUCCUCCUCCAAUGGGCAGUCAUUACUGUGGAACUUCUUGUUGGGCUGGCACAGACAUUGUAAGGUCUUUAUCAUGUUCUGAUGAUUCCCUCUUCUCAGUAUUGCUUCUUCAGCUUCUCUUUCACAGGACUUACUCUUCAGUAAAAUAUUUGCACUCUUAAUUCCAUCUCAGUUUCUGCCCUCCAGAGGAUCUAACCUGAAAUACAUUUUAUUCAUUUUUGUAACCAGAUUACUUAGCAUAGUACCUGGAACAUAAUAGGUGCUCAAUAAAUAUGUGAUAACAGGACUCACUUUAUUUACUGCAGUCUAUGGCAAACUAUAUACCUAGUCAUGGUCUAGUAACAUGGCAGAGGCAAACAAAUUUCCUUUCUUGUUUUUUACUUUUAUCUUCUGAUUCAAGAAACCUUUAACGAUUUGAAUGCAGCAAAGAUGAUGAUGUUUUUGUUGGCUUUUUAUUCAUUAAAAUGAGACACAAUCUAAUUCUUCUAAGUCCUUUAUAAUUUUCUGAGGCAGAAAAUUUUCCAGGCUGGGAAAAGAAGACAAAUUUGUAUUUACAUCACAGGGCAUUUUCACCAGAUAUUUUUCUCAAAUGACUAACGAUGUGUUCAUCACAGCCAGUCAAAUUUGAGUUGCUACCCAUAGGGACAAGACAGUAGAAAUAGCCCAUCAGCCAAAAAAACCACAUAAAAGCCUUCAGUGCAACUCUGAAGCCACCCACGCAGCUGCCUGAGCAAUCAGUCAGGGCACAGAGGCAGGAACUCAACUCAUGUGGUGGCUAAAAGACUGUUUGAAGAGCUUGGCAAAAGCUUGUGGAUUUCAUAAAGGGGCUUUUACAAUGAGAAACAAAAAAUGAUUUAGAUCAGCUGCCCCCACUGCAAAUACAGUUUCAUGUGUCACUUUGUGGACGGCUUUGCCACUAUAUAUGAUGCUUUGCUUCAGAGAACUAAUAUAAAUAGCACUAUUGAAAUGUACUGCACAGAACGAGAGCAAUUCUGAGAGCACCUCUAGACAGAUGAGAAUCGUCUAUCUCUGGGUCAAAGUAUUUAAAAGGAAAAAACUUGGGCAAUUGUUUUUAUCUCAGGGAUGAGAAGAAAUGCCCCAACAAAUUUUCUUUGAGCAUACUAGUGACAAAGUGAGUGAAAAGCUGACCUCUGUACUAAAAACCUGAUACAUUCUCUACAGCAAUGGUUCCCAGGGGUGUCAAGUUCAUGUACCUUGCAAAGCAGAAUCAAAAUUUGAGGAACCUUACAGAACGGCUGUAAAUUCCCACUGUACCCUUUGUAUUCCUACUAAAAGUCCUACAGUCAUUUUUGAGUAUGAAUUUUGGAGUCAUUUAUAGCAAUCAUUUGAGUGAAGUAUUAUGCAAAAACCCAUGAAGUCUGCUAAUGCAUAUACCUGGCUCUUAACUUGGCCAGCAUGCCAACAUUGAACUUCCUCUUGGACAGAGGCCACCCAUUAUUAUGAGUUGUGCUAAAGCCUGUAGUGGUUUUGAGAUUGAAAGUAAAUGCAGUUAAAGACCGGGGCUAUAAACCCCUGUUCACUUGAGACAUAAAGAGCCUGGUAUGUGUAUAAGUAAGCCCUCCAUUCUACCCUUUUAGGAGAGACAAAAUAAUUUGGUGUUCUUCUACCACUCAAUUUAUAUUCAAAUUAAAAUAUAAUAAUUUUUCCUGUGUGGAAUGUCCUUGCUGUUUUGUUUUGUCAGGGCAAAAGAAACUCAUUUAAUUAAAAGAACCCUUAAACACAUAAAGCACAAUUGACUUCAUCUAAAGAGAAUUUUUUUCACAUGUUCAUGUAAGUAUUUGUAAUUUCUUUAUACUGAAUACAAACAAACACCCUGUUUUCUUGGCAUAUUAAACAACUGCUGCAUAUGUCUUCUGACUUAAUUCUCAGGAUACAGAGUGAAUUUUGCAAGUAAAUUCAAUUUCAUGUGCUAAAUACAUCUCUUUUAAAAGGAAAAUGAAUUGACUUCAAUGGAAGCUUCUGAUGCAAGCCCUCUAAAUGCAAAAUGCUAGAGGAACUUUGCAAAUCUAUUACCUUUAAUACUAUACUGUACCUCUAAUUUCUCUUUAACUGCUAGCCACGAAAAUGGUUGCUUUUUAAAACUCACCUUGCAAAUGGUUAAAACACAUACGCGCAAUAGACUAUGGUUUUAACCAGCAUUGGGUUUUCAAAGGUUUAAAUGUUACAUAGCAGCAAAAAAGAAAAAGAAGGGAGAAAUGGUAAAAAGUAGCAUUUUUGAGAAUUUAAUAUGUGCCAAACAUUUAUGAAGCACAUUAUAUAGUUUCUGGUGGCCAUAUAAAGAGGGUAGCAAGUCCAGUUGCUCAUCAUGUUUAUCAACACAUACUAUAUUACACUUCUUGGGAGCCAACUGCAAUUUCUAUUACAAGAGACACUGGAAAACUGUUUAUGCUAAUGAGAAGUCUACUUUUUCCUAGUAUCAAUUAAAAGAAAAUCUUCAUAUCAGAUGCACGUACUUUCUUUUAAAUAAUUUAGUGAGCAUAAUACUCAUGCCAUACCAAGAGAAAAAGUAUACAAAAUAGUGUUUUGGCACCUUUGGUUUCAAGUAAAUAAUAUCAAUAGUUUGAACAGAUGAUUUCUGAGUGACAAGAAAUUAAUCAGUAUAUGCUGGGCUGGAAAGCAUAAUAUAACUCAAGAAGAAAUUCCAAUUCUGAAGACUGGAGGUAUUAUUAGAUGUCAUAAAGAGAACACCUGGGAAGUUACAAGAUCUCAUCUGAAGCUAUCUAUAUGAGAAAGAUGAUGGCCCAGUUACCUACUGAUGCAUAACAAACUACCCCAAAUGCUGGUGGCUUAAAACAAUUUAUUAGUAGGAGUAGUAUGUCUCACUCUGGGUCUAUUAUGUCUAUUUUGUGGGUUAGAAUUUGGACAGGGUACAGUGGAGACUGUCUUUGCUCAACAAUGUCUGGGAUAAUUCAAAUGGCUAGGGGCUGGAAGAGAUGGGAAAAGGGCCCAGCCAUCUCUCUCUUUCUCUCAAUCUCUCUCCCUUUUCAAGCCUAUGUGGCUACCUAGGGUCUCCUCAAUGUAUGGUAGCAGGCCUGUCAGACUUCUCAGAUGGUAACUGAGAGUCCAAGAGGACCAGACAGACUGGCAUGGCAUUUCUUCUGCCAUACUUCGGUGGUCAAAGCAGUCACUGGUCAGCAGGUCAGGAGGAGAGCGACUAGAUCACACUUCACACUUCUCAAGAUAUAGAUAAUCAGGGAAUUAUGGCCCUUUUUAGUGAACCACAGAUGAACGAUAGAGACAUUUAAAAAUUUCAGGCAUAAAAAGUCACGAUUUCUUUUUAAGAGUAUUUCAGAUGGAGGCCGGGCACAGUGGCUCACACCUGUAAUCCCAGCACUUUGGGAGGCCAAGGUGGGCAGAUCACUUCAGGUCAGCAGUUCAAGACUAGCCUGGCCAACAUGCCAAAACUCUGUCUCUAAAAUACAAAAAUUAGCCAGGCGUGGUGGCGUGCACCUGUAAUUGCAGCUUCUUGAGAGGCUGAGGCAUAAGAAUUGCUUGAAUCUGGGAGGCAGAGGUUGCAGUGAACCGAGAGUGUGCCACUGCACUGCAGCCUGGGUGACAGAGCAAGACUGUCUCAAAAAAUAAAAAUAAGAAUACGAGUAUUUCAGAUGGAAAAACAAAAUUUACUUGAGUUGUCCAGACACAUGCAUUCUAAACUCAAAUGAAUAAGCACAUUUCAAAAAUAUUAUAUUGGAUCCCACUUCUUUUAUCCUAAAUCUUUGUCCUAUUUUGGUUUUUUGUGUCCUUGAUAUUUAAUAGCAAUGAUAUUUAAAACAUGAUAUUUUAAUCCAUGACAAUAGCAUCAUUUUCUCCUCUACUGUAAAAUAACCAACCAAGAAAGGCAAUCUAUUAGGAACACCUAUUGUGGCUUCAAACAAUCUUUCUGAAGGUUUUGUAUUCACAUCAGCCUUUAAGAAAGUGAAGUUUUUAGAAACACAAUAAUUUAACAACAGAAUUACACAUCUGAGUUUAAAUGAAUAUUGAGCCAGCUGUUUAAAUGUAAAAUAAAUCUGUUCCUACCAAUAAUCCUAGAAAUAUACUUUAAAAACCACAUACUAUCUACCUAAGUAAAAGCAAACUCAAGUAAUGACACAGAACCUGGGUGUCGUGUUGGUAGGGAGACUCCUGGCAAUGUGAAAUCAGAAUGGUUGCUUAAACAUCGUGAAUGGAUCAGGGAACACCAGCUCCCCAGCACCACAAUCUCCCAUCUAAGAUCUCUUGCUUGGCAUAGAGCUGCCUGCUCUGCCCGAUAUUCAGUUUCUCUCAACAAAUGCAUCUUGAGAAUCAGAAUCAGGUUCUGUGCUGGAAACUGAAUAUUAAAUGACAUGGUCAAUGCUCUGGUGGGAAUGACAGUCCAGUGUUGAUUUUCUAUUUCCCAUCUUCCUUGUCCGUCCUCCUUGAAGCUGAUCAUGGCGAUCUUUCCCCAUUACUCAUUUGAUAUGUUUGUUGAGUGGUAUUCUGCACCAGUUAUGUGAACCACUUGUAAACAAAAACAAAAAGAUGCCACAGUUCCAUAGGUCCUAUAUUAGUUUCCUAGGGCUGCCAUAACAAGGUACCAUAAACCAGGUGGCUCAAACAACAGAAAUUCAUUGUCUUACAGUUUUGGAGGCUGGAAGUCUGAGGUCAAGGUGUCAGCAGGAGUGGUUCCUCCUGAUGGCUAUGAAGGAGAAACUGUUCCAUGCCCCUCUCCUAGCUUAUGGUAAUUUGCUGGCAGUCUUUGGCAUUCCUUGGUUUGUAGAUCUGUCUUUCACAUGGUGCUCUCUGUCUGUAUGUCUGUGUCAUACAGGAUUAGGAACCCGCCCUACUCUAGUAUGACCUCAUCUUAAUUAUAUCUGCAAUAAUAUUAUCCCAAAUAAGGUCACAUUCUGAGGUGCUGAGGGUUCAACAUAUGGAUUUUGAGGGGACACAAUUCAACCCAUAACAUGUCCUCAGUAGUCAUAAUUACAGAGCAAUAACCCUCUGUGCCUCAUAAAUAAAGCAAAUGUACUUUUCUCUCAAGAAUGAGAAUAUGUAGGGACAGAAUUAUUACAGUAGUCAGCCAACUUUUGAGUACUGUCAACUUUGUUCUGUAUGUGGCCUAGGAAGGGAUAAUUUAGAAACAACGUUUUAUGCAAAAGAAAGUAGAAAGAUUUCCUAGAGUGUCUGAAAUUUAUUCACUUAACAUACGUUUACUGGCCAUUGUUCUGAGCACUGAGGACACAGCUGUGAGCCACAUGGACAAAAAUCUCUCCCUUCAUAGUUAUCACAUUCGAAUGAAGGGAGACAGCAAAUAAACAAAACUAGCAAGUAAAUCACAGUACUUUAGUAGGCAUCAAAUGCUAUGAAGCCCAGGUAA